UACGGAGGGGGCAAGCGUUAUUCGGAAUUAUUGGGCGUAAAGGGCGCGUAGGCGGCUAGAUGUGUCAAAGGUGAAAUCCCUCGGCUCAACUGAGGAACUGCCUUUGAAACUGUCUGGCUUGAGGCCGGGAGAGGGUAGCGGAAUUCCCAGUGUAGCGGUGAAAUGCGUAGAUAUUGGGAGGAACACCGGUGGCGAAGGCGGUUCUCUGGGCCUGUACUGACGCUGAGGAACGAAAGCGUGGGGAGCGAACAGG
rnacentral:rRNA from 1 species